AUACGGAGGAUCCGAGCGUUAUCCGGAUUUAUUGGGUUUAAAGGGUGCGCAGGUGGCCAUUUAAGUCAGCGGUUAAAUCGUGGGGCUCAACCCCAUUCUGCCGUUGAUACUGGGUGGCUUGAUUGCGGUCGAGGUUGGCGGAAUUCGUUGUGUAGCGGUGAAAUGCAUAGAUAUGACGAAGAACACCGAUUGCGUAGGCAGCUGACCAGACCGCAAAUGACGCUCAUGCACGAAAGUGCGGGGAUCGAACAGGAUUAGAUACCCUGGUAGUCCGCACAGUAAACGAUGAAUACUUGUUUUCGGCGAUAUAAUGUCGAAGGCAAAGCGAAAGCGAUAAGUAUUCCACCUGGGGAGUACGCCGGCAACGGUGAAACUCAAAUGAAUUGACGGGG
rnacentral:rRNA from 1 species